GAAGAAUCUAAAAGCUUUCUUUAUAAAGUAAACGUCUGAUGUUUGUGACUGCGGGGGCAAAAAAUUCAUAAAUCUGUACGAUGCUAUCAUCUCUGAUUUGUUAUCGCAGCAAAUGCCAAGUCUAAGCAGUCUGACCUUAGCCUUAUUAAGUGCUUUCUUUUCAGAUACAGUUAUUAUUUGACAAUAGAGAGACUGCAGUGCUGCAAGGGGGAAAAGUAAUAUAUUUUAAAUAUGUGUGUGUGUGUGUGUGUGUGUGUCUAUGUGCGUCUGUGUGUGUGUGUGUGUGUGUAUAUAUAACUAUCCAUCUUUUUUACCCUGCAAAGCUUACAGAGUUGAGAGCACCGAGUGUGGGAACUCAGGGACUACUAUUCUGAGCACAAUUGAGAAAACUAUGUUUCGUCCCAUUGCAUGUGCUUGUCUUUGAUCUCAAAUUGAAAAUCUCUCAGCCUCUUCCUCCAAUCCAAAAGCAAAUAAAUACUGAGAGAAAGAAACCUUUCUCCUCUCAGCAUGUAGGGCCUCCACAACUGAAAAAUGAAGGUAGCUGUAAGAGCUCUGAUGAACCUGUUUGGACAACAGACAGAAAAAAAAAAAUACCUGUCUUGGUGGAGGAGUUUAAGAACACUGCAGAGAUCAUCAGGCAGUACAGAAUAUCUUGGCUCACACGGGCCAUUCUCUUUAUCUCAAAACAAUACCAGCCAAGCUCCUCCGUUCCUACAACUGAAGAGCUGCGGGAGCAGGAGGACAGUAACUAAUACAGCUUUUAAAUAUGAAUCUCCUUGUCCUGUUAAGAAAAAGAAAGAAAAAUAAGGAGAAAUACGUUAAUUCCAAGCAAGGCAAGAUAUCUGAUUCCAAGGAAGAAAACUAUCCACGGCAGGUUGAAGCCACAGGGGCAGUUCUGAAUUGCCUUUCUCCAUCCAACUACUUUACUUCAAAAGAUGUCCCUUCGAAAAACAGCAACUCCCAGGGAUCAAUGCAUAAAACGAUGCCGGGGUCUUGCUGAGCCCUUGCCAAUGCUCGGAGGCUGUGCCGAGCAGGAGGAUUGCAGUGAACCUCUUCCCAUGUCCUGGGGGAGCCAAAUGCCAAGUGUGGCAAAACCCUCCAGGGAGGUAACACAGUGGAUGAUUGAUUGUACCCGCCAGCUGGCUAAUAUCAUAAUUAACAAAGUUGCUACCAUGUCUGAGAAGUUUAAUCGAAAAAAUUGCCGGCAGUAUGAUGCCAUUGUCACAGAGAUCACAAGCACAGCAGUGUUGACUUUUGCACUGGUGGAGCCGCAGGACUAUGUAGAUGUGCUGAAAAGUCGUUCGCUGGGAUAA
rnacentral:lncRNA from 1 species